GCUGCGCCCGCCGCUGUUGCAGCUGCAGCCGCUGCUGCUGGUAAUCCUGCCGCUGCACCUGGUAGCGUUGCAUACGUGUAUGGUGUCACGUAACUCGCUGCCGCUGCAUUCGCUGUAAAAAGAAAGAAAAGAAAAAAGGAAGCAACGGUGGAAUAUCGUGAUGCUGAAACAUGGAAGCUGACACGGGGGACAGGUGGAUCUAAAUAAAGAUUGGAGCAGCGCCAGAAUCUUCAAGAUGGCCGAACCGAGAGAUGCAAGGCGUGUCGUCGUCGUCGUCGUCGUCGUCGUCGUCAUCGUCGAGCACGAUUUCUUGAAAACUUACGACACACCACGAAUUCACCCAAGCAACGAGAAAAGUCCUUCCGGUGUUGGAUUUCACCUUUCCACCUACGCGUACGCUGAUUUGAGGACACGCACGAGUUUAUGCGAUUCCGAUUCGUCGAUUGAAAAUUUUUCUCUUUCAUCGCGGAUUCUCGUCUUCGGGACGAAGAAAAAGAAAGUCGGGGGGCGGGCCAGCAGCUUUUUGAAACAGCGAACAGAAACGUAUCGAUUCCGUCCCUCUUCGACUCCCCUAUUAUUAAAUACAGUGAUACAGACGGUGCACACCGAUUGUUAUAUUAUUAAAGAAAAAAAAAAAAAAAGGAGAAAAAAAAAACCAUGUACAACACCAAAAAAAUACAACACCAAUAGCGACACCAAGUGUAGUGUAAGCCUUCACCACACACACAAGGUUAUUAUUAAUUGUAUUAUAAUUAUGGUUAGCCUGUACACUCCGUCGAAUCUUCGUCGAAUUUAUCCGAACAAAAAGGAUUCGCGUUAGUAAGAGAGAGAGAGAAAAAAAUUACUUCUCUAAAAUCAGAAUUAACCUAUAUAUAUAUAUAUAUAUAUAUAUAUAUAUAUAUAUAUAUAUAUAUAUAUAUUCUUACCGAUACAAGAACGAAUUUAUUUUAUUUUGUUCGUUUCUUUCUCUCUCUCUCUUUUUCUCUCUCGCUCGCUCUCGCUCUCGCUCUCUCUCUCUCUCUCUCUCCCUCUCUUUUCCGUGGUAACGAUUUCCACGUUUCGAUAACCGUUCGAUAUCUCGACGAAUUUCUACGCUGCGGCUAAGAAAUCUGACUGGGCCAAACCGAGUGUACCGCGAUAAAAUCGAUUGGCACGAUGAAAAAUUAAUGAAACGUUGCCGUGUUUCGCGGCGGUGCGGGUCGAUUUCCGGUGAAAAAUACGGGAGAUCCACACCGGUUCGGAGAAAUCGACCGUAUUCGUUCAUAAUUCAACGAAAUUCUGUUGCACACGGUUAAUCUCCUCUCCAUAUUUCUCUUUCUUUCCUUCCUUCCUUCCUUCUUCCUCUCUUUCUUCUUUCUCCCUCCCUUUCCUCUUAUCUGCUCUCCUCCCCUUCCUCUUCCCCUCCCCCUCCCCGCCGCCCUGUUUAUUUUCGAAUAAUCGGAUAAAUAAUUCACGCGAGCGCCUCCGCGCGAGUUUCCCGCGAACUAAUAUUUCGAGGGAUUCAGCGCGAUUCGCGAAGAAUUUCGCGAGCUGUGUAGUAGCGAAUAAAUGUUAUCGAUGAAUCUUUACCUUGCGUUUUACCGUGAACGCGCAAACGUUACACCGGAAUUACGGAUUCGACAAAAGUGAAACGAAUGAACGAGACGAACGGAAAGGAAUUAACGCGCGAAAAUUAAUCGAAAAGGGGGAAGGAUAUUCGAUAUACGGAAUAUACAUACGAUACGACACGAGAGUGAACAGAUGCUAUGAAAAAAAAAGAAAAAAGAAAAAAAAAGAAAAAGUAGUCUAUCCAUGGAAACUAUCCGCGUGUGUAUCUUGUAUAUUCGCCGAUGUGUGCGUGGCUAUCGAUGAUGAUAGAUUUUGCAACGUUUUAACGGCAAGUUAUAUUAGCUGAACAACGUAGGCCACGUUGUCUCGAAGUUACUACCACGUUCGCUAGAUUAUUAAACGUUGUAAACUAAUGAUCGAAAGACAAAAUUAUCCCUAAAUUGGAAGAUGAUAAUCACGCGCGUGAUUAUUCCUUUUUUUUUUUAAUUAAUAUUAAUAUUAAUUAAUUAUUAUGAUUAAAGAAAAAGAGUGUAAAAGAGUGUAAAGACCAAAAAAGUCAAAACCAGUAAACAAACAAAUCUCUCAGCAACCGCAAAUCAAUUAUCAUAUCACUUCACGUCAACCUCAUCAAUAAAGAAGAAACAAAAAAAACACAACCAAAAAAAUACUAGUAAUAGGUACUAGAAGAAGAGGCCGAUCCUCGGAAGUCGACAUUUUGACAGUUUUUGUAGAAAUAAUAUAUCGUGGGUACUCAUGGCUUCUGAUUGUA